GUACCACUGCUGUGGUUGGGAUGGGGACGCUGCGGGUCUCCUCCACCCCAGGCGCCCUCGCUCCACCCCGCGGGUUCGGUUCUCCGGGUCCUUUCUCAACACCUUUCUGAUUCUUGCAAGUCUUGGCCAGGGAGGAAGGGGUGCUCCAGCUCCCGCAUUCUCGCAAUCCCCUCCCCCUACCUUCAAGUAACAAUGGAGUGGCCCUUGGUCUGGAAAGUGGGGCUGGGUGUGAGAGGGCAGGAGAGGGGCGAAAGGGGCUGGGCAGCCAAGGGUUAAGUUCCUGCCCGAGCAGUGGAAGAGGGACCGCGUGUGCGCCGCCUUCGUGAAAUUCUAGCCUUUCCGCACCUCCAGCAGCCCUUGCAGCCUGAGUCGCACUUGUUUCCUCGCCUGGUAUGCGCGCAACAGGCGUUGAAGCCCGGGUCUCUCGGCGCUGGUGCUCCUCCUGCCCGCGGUGCCCCUGCGCGUCUAGGGCCGGCCUCCAAGUGGCCUCCUGCGUCUCGCUAGUGCGUGGUCUGCAGUCUGACAACGCUCUGGACGAGCAUUAAAAUCAACUAUUAGGCCAGGUCCAGCAUCUCCUUGUAUAAAGCAGACUCCCUCUGGCUUGAUGAACAUGAGUCUGAAAAAAAUUAAAAGGAGAGCACAGCAGCCGAUCCUUGCAGUAUUAUCGGUUUGGGAAAAAAAGAUGAGAGAAAAAUGCUGAGACAGAAUGUCCUUCCUGAGAAAUAGAGCUCGGCAAGAUUCAGCAGACUCCUUCAGCGGGAGGACUGUGUGUUCACCGCUUGCCUGCAGCAACCAUCCACUGACCUAGAGUUUGACCGCGUCGUGAUUUAUACCACUUGCCUGCGUGUGGUACGGACAACCUUUGAAAGGUGUGAACUGGUUAGGAAAAUCUUCCAAAACCACCGAGUAAAAUUUGAAGAGAAAAACAUAGCUCUGAAUGGCGACUACGGAAAAGAGUUGGACGAACGAUGCCGUCGGGUUUCCGAAGCACCUUCCCUCCCUGUCGUGUUCAUUGAUGGCCAUUAUCUUGGGGGUGCUGAGAAAAUUUUGUCAAUGAAUGAAUCAGGAGAACUGCAAGACCUCUUAACCAAAAUUGAGAGAGUGCAGCAUCCACACGAGUGCCCCUCCUGCGGAGGCUUUGGCUUUCUUCCCUGCUCCGUCUGCCAUGGGAGCAAGAUGUCAGUGUUUCGAAACUGCUUUACAGACUCUUUCAAGGCCCUGAAGUGCACAGCUUGCAACGAGAAUGGUCUUCAGCGCUGUCAGAGCUGUGCUGGUUAGCACUUCCACCCCCAGAACACCUGCUUUCCUUCACUGAAGGCAAUCAUUGGGUUUAUACUUUUUUUUUUUAAUGGCUGGCUAUGUUUCUGGAUUAAUCAAUAAACUUUGUUUAUUAUAAUUUCCUUUGUUUGGAAUUUUUGCUGUGACCACUUUCAGGGAUGUUUUAAAUUGAUGUUUACUCAACAGCUACUAUGUGCCAAGCCCUAUGCUAAAAUAAACCCUGGUUUCUAAUUGGAGUUAAUGGAGGAUCUGAUACCAUUCCAAGGUCUCCAAAUCUGAGUCCCUAAAUGUCUUGGGGUUUCAAAGGAAAAUAUAAAGUUCAUCCAGUGGUGUCUAUGCAAUGCCGCCCUAGUGUCUAGAAUGAGUUAACUCAAUUCUAGACGCAUAAUACAUUUCUACGUGAGCCUCAGCUGUAGGGAAGAAGAGAGCUCUGGAAGGUGGAAAAUAACGUGAUCUUAUACUUAGGCAAUAAGUUAUUUUUAAAGCUGUAAAAAGUCUUGGAGCUGAUGAUAUUAAUGAUAAAUCAUUAAUGUUAUUGAUAAAUUUCUUGGUGAUGAUGCAAAAACUGCUGGAAACGUUUUCCGAUUUAUUUAUUUAAACAUCUGCUUUGUGCAGUUGUCACUGAAAAUCCUCCAACAAGGUGCUGAUAUGGUUCUCUGGAGCUGGAUGCAAAAUAUUACAUAGUUUGAACACGUAGUAGAUGAUAUUAACAAAGAGGACAAAAGGAAAUUUUGCUAUAAAUAUUAGCUGAUGCCUACCUGUACAUAUGUCUGUACUCUGAUGGGUUCCCUUACAAAUGAUUUUAAUAAAUCUCCUUUAUACUAUCUGUGGUAAGGUA